GUGAUUAUAGCUCAGUGGUAGAGUGCUCACCUGGCAUGUGAGAACAAGGGAUCAAUUCCUGGUACCU
rnacentral:tRNA from 1 species